rnacentral:rRNA from 1 species
AUGGUGCUCCAAUUUUAUGAUAUCCAUGACAACAAGCUAAAUGAAGAGGGCCUAAAGCUAAGGACUGAUUUUAUGGGAGAGAUAAAGAAUAAAGAUAUGCAUCAUGUAGUGCUUACGCCAAAAAUGUCAGGAAGAUUUUACUUCAUCUUUGGGGAGCCUAUUGAAACAAAAGGGAGGGAGAAGGAGUUAAGAGAUAAAGAGAAGGCCCAGCACCUCUAUUUGCAUGUCAAAUCUGAAGUGGAGAGUUGUAUCAAGUAUCUGAAGAGGAGAGAGGAUCCCUACAGGAGUACACUGUCCAGUCUUCUAUAUCAGGCAGCUCAUGGUUCUGAUGCAGAAAUACCCACAUUUGAACCCUGA